UGGGGAAUAUUGGACAAUGGGCGAAAGCCUGAUCCAGCCAUGCCGCGUGUGUGAAGAAGGUCUUCGGAUUGUAAAGCACUUUAAGUUGGGAGGAAGGGCAUUAACCUAAUACGUUAGUGUUUUGACGUUACCGACAGAAUAAGCACCGGCUAACUCUGUGCCAGCAGCCGCGGUAAUACAGAGGGUGCAAGCGUUAAUUGGAAUUACUGGGCGUAAAGCGCGCGUAGGUGGUUUGUUAAGUUGGAUGUGAAAGCCCCGGGCUCAACCUGGGAACUGCAUCCAAAACUGGCAAGCUAGAGUACGGUAGAGGGUGGUGGAAUUUCCUGUGUAGCGGUGAAAUGCGUAGAUAUAGGAAGGAACACCAGUGGCGAAGGCGACCACCUGGACUGAUACUGACACUGAGGUGCGAAAGCGUGGGGAGCAAACA
rnacentral:rRNA from 1 species